rnacentral:tRNA from 1 species
AAUGAAUUGCCUGAUAAAAAGGAUUACCUUGAUAGGGUAAAUCAUGUAAUGUUAUUACAUUCAUUA